UACGUAGGUGGCAAGCGUUGUCCGGAUUUAUUGGGUUUAAAGGGUGCGUAGGCGGCCCUGUAAGUCAGUGGUGAAAUACUCUAGCUUAACUAGAGGGGUGCCAAUGAUACUGCAGGGCUUGAGUACAGAUGAGGUAGGCGGAAUUGACGGUGUAGCGGUGAAAUGCAUAGAUAUCGUCAAGAACACCGAUAGCGAAGGCAGCUUACUGGGCUGUAACUGACGCUGAUGCACGAAAGUGUGGGGAUCAAACAAG
rnacentral:rRNA from 1 species